rnacentral:rRNA from 1 species
AGUGAACGCUGGCGGCAGGCCUAACACAUGCAAGUCGAACGGCAGCACAGGAGAGCUUGCUCUCUGGGUGGCGAGUGGCGGACGAGUGAGGAAAACGUCGGAAUCUGCCUAUUUGUGGGGGAUAACGUAGGGAAACUUACGCUAAUACCGCAUACGACCUACGGGUGAAAGCGGAGGACCUUCGGGCUUCGCGCAGAUAGAUUAGACGACGUCGGAUUAGUUAGGUGGCGGGGUAAAGGCCCACCAAGGCGACGAUCCGUAGCUGGUCUGAGAGGAUGAUCAGCCACACUGGAACUGAGACACGGUCCAGACUCCUACGGGAGGCAGCAGUGGGGAAUAUUGGACAAUGGGCGCAAGCCUGAUCCAGCCAUGCCGCGUGGGUGAAGAAGGCCUUCGGGUUGUAAAGCCCUUUUGUUGGGAAAGAAAAGCAGCCGGUUAAUACCCGGUUGUCAUGACGGUACCCAAAGAAUAAGCACCGGCUAACUUCGUGCCAGCAGCCGCCGUAAGAC